rnacentral:piRNA from 1 species
CUACUGGACAUGCAUUCCUGAUG